AGUGAACGCUGGCGGUAGGCCUAACACAUGCAAGUCGAACGGCAACACAGUACGAGCUUGCUCUUACGGGUGGCGAGUGGCGGACGGGUGAGGAAUGCAUCGGAAUCUACUUUUUCGUGGGGGUUAACGUAGGGAAACUUACGCUAAUACCGCAUCCGACCUACGGGUGAAAGCAGUGGAUCUUCUGACCUUGCGCGGUUGAAUUAGCCGAUGUCGGAUUGGCUAGUUGGCGGGGUAAAGGCCCACCAAGGCGACGAUCGGUAGCUGGUCUGGGAGGAGGAUAGGCGGCACGAGAGCUGGGACGGGGUCCAGACGACUACGGGAGGGAGCAGAGUGGUAUAUUGGACAAAAGGCGCGAGCCUGACCCAGCCAUCGCGCGUGUGUGAAGGAGGCCUUCGGGUUGGAAAGCCCUUUUGUUGGGAAAGAAAAGCAGCAGGUUAAGACCCCGCGGGACUGACGGUAACCGAAGAAUAAGCACCGGCUAACUUCGUG
rnacentral:rRNA from 1 species